CUGUGAGUGAGUUACACUGUUUCAUGACAUUUCAUACUGCCGAGUUAUGAAAAGAAUAUUGUAUUCAGAGAGCAGGGGCCUCUCUCUCUUUUUUUUUCUUUGUGAUAGUAAAAAGAACAGAGCACAUGCCACGGGAGCGUCACCCCCACCUUUGGUGGAAGCAGAAAAACAGGGAGCCAAGGUCUUAACUCAGGCUCACAAAGAGUCAGAAAGAAUAUGAAUGCUUAGUUUGUGGCUGUGGCGCAUUCUGUAUAGCUUCUUUUCUUUGUUUAGUAGCUUUCUGCCUUCACCUGAGGGUGUGCCCUAAGCAUGUGACUUCAGGUCUCCAUAAUUGGAGUUUAUUUUAAGAUAAAUAAGAUGAUUUCAUUUAUUGCUCGCAGAUCAUGCACUAAAUGGUAUUUUGCAGUAUUAGCUGUCUUCACCACUUAAACAAAACAUCACUCUUUGUUUUAUUAUUGUUAUUAUUACUA
ensembl:lncRNA